UACGUAGGGUCCGAGCGUUGUCCGGAAUUAUUGGGCGUAAAGGGCUCGUAGGCGGUUUGUCGCGUCGGGAGUGAAAACACCGGGCUUAACUCGGUGCUUGCUUCCGAUACGGGCAGACUGGAGGUAUGCAGGGGAGAACGGAAUUCCUGGUGUAGCGGUGAAAUGCGCAGAUAUCAGGAGGAACACCGGUGGCGAAGGCGGUUCUCUGGGCAUUACCUGACGCUGAGGAGCGAAAGUGUGGGGAGCGAACAGG
rnacentral:rRNA from 2 species